CCCUUGAGCACAAUACUCCGAGCUCUAUACCUCCAUAACAUUAUCAGAUAACUCAGAUGUGCUUUUGAUCUUCUUAGUGCUACGAACCAGGUGAUCUUUCUCUUCUCUGGAGCAACCAUGGUCAUGCUGGGCCUCUCCAGAGCUCAGGAUCUCACUAACGAUCAUAUUUGCUCUGGUUGAGAUAUAUACUUUAAGUUUUCAUAUUUGCGCGCUAUUUCGUUUUCAAGUUUCCAAAUCUCUCUCUCCCUCUCUCUCUCAAUCUUUUUGUGUGUGUGUGUGUGUGUGGUGUCUUAACCUGUGCAAGUGGAACUAAUGUACGCUAUGGGGGUUAGAGAAAUGCAACCUGAAGAACCCUACGGUGAAGAAAAUACUACAAGAGUUGGAAGAGAUGGAAGACAACACUUCCGAUGAUUUUCGUGAGCCUCCAUCUAGAGUUUUAGCCAAAUUUUCGUCUUGAAACAGAAACCAAGAGUUGCAGAAGCAUAUCAAAUCAUCAUCUUGAACAUUGGCAACCAACCAUCAUGGAGUGAUAUUAAUUACUUUUCUCAAUAAUGGAAGAGGAGCCUGCAACUGACACAGAUUCGCCAAUGUAUGCUGAGGAAGAUGACAUUCUGUGAACCGAGCCGAGCCCAUUCGCCAAUAGCUCAUUCAUCUCACGAGAAUUGAGAAUUCAUGGCUACUGAAACAAAUGCUCAAACGAGUAUUGGAAUGGUGGCUGCAAUUGCGACAACCCCCUCUCCUGUUGUAACAGUAUUGGUAAAUCACAGUGAGAAGCCGGACAAGUUCUCAGGAACUGAUUUUAAAAGAUGGCAACAGAAAAUGUUGCCCUAUCUUACAACUCUAAACCUGGCUCGUUUUCUCCGUGAAAAUGCUCCUACUCUGAAUAAGGAUGAAACU